rnacentral:lncRNA from 1 species
UUUUUUUUGUUUGGUAGCCUUUAAAAUCUAUAUAAGAGCCAAAAUGGCCAUUUCUAGCCAUUAGAGAUCAAAAACUAGCUGUUGAAAAUCAUCGGUGCAAUUUUGAAUUUUUUGUAGAAUUAGUCACUAGAGUUCUCAGUCACAGUCAAGUCGACUUGGAACCAAAUAGGGGUCAACUCGAGCAAACGACGAGUUGACUUG